rnacentral:rRNA from 1 species
UACGAAGGGGGCUAGCGUUGUUCGGAAUCACUGGGCGUAAAGCGCUCGUAGGCGGCUCUUUAAGUCAGGGGUGAAAUCCCGAGGCUCAACCGCGGAACUGCGUUUGAUACUGGGGAUCUCGAGUCCGGGAGAGGUGAGUGGAACUGCGAGUGUAGAGGUGAAAUUCGUAGAUAUUCGCAAGAACACCAGUGGCGAAGGCGGCUCACUGGCCCGGAACUGACGCUGAGGUGCGAAAGCGUGGGGAGCAAACAGG